UUUGUGUUGGAUUUCCCUCCAAGACUUAAUGUGGAUCCUCAGGUUCAGUCUCUUUUACGACAAGAAUUCCACAGAGUAUCGGUGCAAUUGGGUGUGUCAUACAAAUCAGUUGCUGAGCUGUUUCCAAUGAGAAAACUGCACCUGUGGAGCAGAGAUGGGGUACACCUAAGUGAUGAUGAUGGGAUGAAAAUCCUAAAUAAAGCGAUAUAUGAG